GAAGGAAAAAAGAAGGAAAUGAAGAAAGUUUCAAGGAGGAACAUCAGGUCACGAUUUUGCUAUCCCUGAUCUCUACCAGCUUCCUUUUAUUUAUAAAAUUAUAAAAUACAGGCGGCUUUAUCAAGUCACUUUAAUAAUAUUAAUUAAAAUUUCAUGGCCUGAAUGCAAAAAAUGUAGACGUGUUUUAAUUAUCUGUGACGAUGUAGUAUCAGGAAGAACAUGCUCACCCUCCCUGCGGCUGCCAUCAGAGCGUCCCCUCAGUCCCCUCUGUCCCACUGACCCUGUGUCAGUUUUCUCAGCCUGGACUGACGUGCUCACCGACCAUCUCUCCAGUCCUACAAUUCUUUAAGCUCCGCUGUGAAUGAAACUCCAGAAAGUCUUUGGAAAAAGUUCCAGCAGACAUUUUAAACACCUGUUACCUCAAAUCCCCUUUUGAAGAAGUAGAAUAUAAAUGAUUUAACAUAUUAUGGAGGUGACAGAGGCUCAGAGCACUUGCUUCACAAGUGAAAUGAAGUUGUCCCCGUGCAGGGAGGCUGUCAUCCUCCACACAGCAGACGGCUUCAGAGGGACGCGGAGAGAAUGGGACAGGAGGGGACACCGUGCGAAUCUGCCCCAGGGGGGACGACCGCGCCCCGUGUCCUGUCUCCUUCGGCUCAAUGUAAUGCACAGGGACCCGCAGUGACCGACAGCCACCAGCUCUGUGCGGCGAGCGGUGCGGCUCAUGCCCGCCGAGCGGGACAGACACACGGACAACAAAUCUCACCGCGCCGGUCACGUCAUGUGGGAGGCACAUAAAUCCAUUUGUAAAGAAUUAAAUACAAAAUCUUCUGUAAUGAAAACUGAGAGCUGUACAACUAAUGGAAAUGACAAUAAAGAACAAUAAAGAACUCUGCUACGUCAACAUCAGGGAAAAGAGUCUGGAAGUCACAUAAAAGAACAUGUGAAGGAACAUUUUUAAAAAUCCUGGUAUAUAAGUAGAAGUCUGGAGGUGCUGUGGGAAAUUGAAACAGUGCUAUUAGCUCUGAGUAACAUUCUUUUUUUCUUUUAUAAAAUAUUAUUGAGGUUUAAAUUGGUAAAAUUAAAUACCUUGUAGAAUUCAAAUAUUCAUUUUUUAUUAUUUGUUUAAAUAUGAAUUUUUCACAUUAAAUAUCACUUAUAUCUCAGAGUCACAGAUUUUCAAGCACUUUUAACCACAGAAAUGCUUUGAACAAUGGUAAAUUUAGCAAUGUUAGAAUAGGAAUUAUAUAAAAGCCCAUAUUACAAGCCACCUUUCUUUUACUACAUUACAUGCGUUUGGGGUAGGGAAGUUCUGAAACAUGAAUUUCAUUUUACUUUUUUGGUUUCCAGGGAAGCGCUUAGUCUCUCAGUUGCAUAACCCCUCACUAUAGUAGAUUAUAUAAUCACAUGAUGUGAAAAAAUCAUGAGAUUCUUUUACACAUUUCCAGGUUUACAGUCAGGAUUUUGUCAAUUCUUUUUUAGUAAACUUUAGAAAACAAAAUAA